GCGCCUGUGACCGUCGCUGUCCCGCGCUCCGUCCGCCGGGAACCGCUUUUUCGCACAUUUUUUCCCCUUUUUUUACACCUCCGGCCCGAUUCCAGGAAUGCCACGGUGUUCCCAGUGAGAUCUCAUUCAUUCCUACUCCGGGCAAAUAUUUAUUCUUUUCGUUUAUUUCAUUACGAGUCGCGCACGCGACACGACAACUGAACGCGAUUUGUAAUGAGUACAUUGCGGGUCUUUAUGGAAAAUAAAAUAUUUACAAAGCGUUUUCAGCUGCACGGUGCCGUAAUUGAUUCGCUGCUAUCAGAGAGACGAUGUUCGAUUAUGACAGAGGAGAAUAUUGAACAUAUCCGACAGAGUGUUGAAGAGCCAGGAAUGUCGACUCGAAGACUUACGGCGAUCCCUGAGUCUAAAUGAGUCAUAAGGCACGGAGAUCCUUGGAUCCAUAGUCGACCGUUUUUCCUCCUUUCGUCGUUUGAACCCUUAUUCUGGAAAUGGGAAAGCGCGGAUACUACAUUAAUUAGAGACGGAUG